UUUGACAAAGGUGAACCCACGGCGGAGCUUCUCUUCCUCUGAAGCGGAGACGGAGAAGACAGAGGAGGAGGUCGACGGUGAAGAUAUAGGAGCGACGGUGGUUUGUUCGUGCGACAUUCACCAGCACCACCAAGUUAAAUCUCCUGGUGUCAGGCAUGUGUUGUGUUUUAUUGAUUUCGCUGGCCCUCUUUGUUGCGGGUUGCUCCCAGAAUUCUGAAGACUAGAACCUGACUAGAACUCGAUAUACUAAAACUCGGUUUGCCUCAGCGUUCCAUAGAAGCGUGGUAUCACUCACCUCUUCCCCAUUCUAGUUAAAAGACUUUUCCUUUCAAUCUGAAAGCUGUUGUCGUCACUUUUGCUGCCUGGUUGCUAAUGUCGUCACUUUUAAUUGCAUUCCGAUCUAUAAGCUUAAGGACCUGAGGAAAAUGUGAAGACAAAACUUUUCUCUAGGAAUGUUUUCAAACCAUGGGUAUAAGACAUGGCGGUCAUGAGCAGAGAAGGCGCAUCCCCUACGCUUUCCCUGUGAGAUACAGGCCAAGGCCAAGAAGGAAAUGAGAGAUCAAGGUUUUGAUUUAGUUCCCAUGUUUUCUAUAGUCUUUUUUAUAUUUGAUUGAUGAAAAUGUAUACAUGUUUGUGGUACUAAUAUAAGUACAUUUUGGUUUAUAAAUGAAUAUAAAUUGAAUA